rnacentral:misc_RNA from 1 species
CUGAUGGCCGACGUCCCAGAUGAUGCGGUCGUCCGGGGUGUUGAAGACGUAGUGAAGCGCGGUGGUCAGUUCGACCACGCCGAGGCCGGCGCCGAAAUGGCCGCCCGUCACCGACACCGUGUCGAUGGNNNNNNCAGCCGCAGUUCAUCGGCAAACUGGCGGAGCUGCUCGGGCUUGAGCUUGCGCAGCAGGUCCGGAGUCGGCGCAGCGUCGAGGAGGGGAGUCUUGCUCGAAUUUGACACUUGAAUUUAUCCGCAAUGAUUUGGGCCGCCCGGCCCGGCAUGGAAAGAUGCCCAGAAAGGUCCGAAACGGUCCCGUGGCUUAUACCAAUUCCAAAGUCAUGCCAAUCCGCCGG